GAGCGGAGAUGCAGGUGCUUGCACCUUAUCUUAGCGGCGGACGGGUGAGUAAUGCUUAGGAAUCUGCCUAUUAGUGGGGGACAACAUUUCGAAAGGAAUGCUAAUACCGCAUACGCCCUACGGGGGAAAGCAGGGGAUCUUCGGACCUUGCGCUAAUAGAUGAGCCUAAGUCGGAUUAGCUAGUUGGUGGGGUAAAGGCCUACCAAGGCGACGAUCUGUGGCGGGUCUGAGAGGAUGAUCCGCCACACUGGGACUGAGACACGGCCCAGACUCCUACGGGAGGCAGCAGUGGGGAAUAUUGGACAAUGGGGGGAACCCUGAUCCAGCCAUGCCGCGUGUGUGAAGAAGGCCUUUUGGUUGUAAAGCACUUUAAGCGAGGAGGAGGAGCUCUAGAUUAAUACUCUAGAUGCUUGGACGUUACUCGCAGAAUAAGCACCGGCUAACUCUGUG
rnacentral:rRNA from 1 species